UAUCCUUGCACACAAACGUUUAUUUUUGAACGACAAGCACAUUUUGGAAUUAAGGUUGCAUCGCAACUAAAUAUAAACAUGUAACUUGAUCCUUUAAAAAGGAAUUAAAUGUAUGAUAUGCAUAUUUUAGCGCUUUGAUUCUCAGAUCGGAACGUUUCAUCAGUUGAUUUAUAUAAAACCCCAUUUUCUAGACCAAUUUAUGGCAAUACUUUUAUCGUUUUGUUUACACGUGUAUAAGAUUUGACACCCGUUUAUCUUUACAAUCUAGUCUGACACACUAACGACAGCUAACAUUUCAAAAACACUACAUGUAUGGUUAAUUAGUUCCAUGGCCUAUGAAAACAAUAAUUUACACUAACUUUUAUUCCAAACCCACACAAGCACAGACCGGUAAUGAAAACGGAACUGAAUUCUGAAAUAAAGUUCACGUUCUGCAUUUUGAGUCUGACAUUAAUACAUUAGUUUAACCUAGAUUGUUUUUGUAAGAUAUGUGUCACAUAGAGUAUGCUCCCUUUAUAAAAAAGACAUUUUUAAUUUUGGCACCAGAUGUGAUUGAAAGUCGACUUGAAAAACAGUAUGCAAAAACGAAGUGUCAAGUCUGGUGAUGAUAAACCAACUGCUGAAGAGACGAUGAAAACGGAGCCACUUUUAUCCCCAGACGGUGCUGGAGACCAAACAGUUAAAAUAUUUAAUUUUAAAGUCCACAAAGUCGUGUUAGUGGUUCAUAUUAAUAUUUUUCUGUAUGCAACAUGUUUUUGGAUCCAGACUGGGACACUGCCUUAUUUGUCAAAGCGGCUUGGCGUGGACCCGGUGGUGUUUGGAUAUCUACAGACGACGUUCGCCGUUGUUCAGCUGGCUGGCGGACCUCUGUAUGGGCGAUUCGGAGAUCUUUUCGGAGGUCGGGCUGCCAUGACCUUGGCCUUUUCGGCCUCGGCCUUGACCUACUUCCUUCUUGGAUUAUCCUACAACAUUCCACUACUGUUUGUAUCCAGGCUACCAUCAAUGUUCAUGCAUGCAAUGCAGGGAGGGCAAAUGAUUGUCACAGACUUAGGCGAGGUCCACAAGAGGGCGGAUGCAUUGGGGAAGCUGGGAAUGUCUUAUGGCGUUGGCAUGGUGAUCGGGCCUCUCGUAGGGGGACUUAUCACCAAACAUGUCAGUGAAGAGUUUGCUGCCUUUCUGGCAAGUGCUGGGUCACUGCUGAGUAUCGUCCUCGUUUUAGCUUUUGUACCGAAACACACCAAGAAACCAGAGGCGAAGGUCGCAGAGGAAGCCUCCAGUUCGAGUGUGUUCAACUUUAAGAAGAUCAUCAAUCUGGUUUUAGCACCCGGAGUUCUCUUUCUACUGCUUAUAAAGAUUGGAUCAGGAAUCCCAAUAGGAAUCUUUCAGAGCAUGUUCCAGGUUGUAGCCAUCGACACGUUUCACCUGGCCGCGGACCAGAACGGCUUUGUCAUGUCCUACAUCGGUAUCACUACAAUGAUUGUCCAGGGGAUUGGAAUCGGCAUCCUGACGAAGAGGUUCAGCGAAAACUCCAUUCUCAAGUGGUCAGCCUUCAUUUUGGUCUGGUCAUAUCUCCUGAUGGCGUUUUGUACUAACAUCUGGCAGUUGUGUGCUGUGUUUUUGCCUCUUGUCAUUGGCCUGACCACCAAGAAUGUUGUCCUUAGUGCAGCGGUGACGAAAACUGUCUCAGAUGCAGACACAGGUGCGAUGCUAGGCCUGAACAUGGCUGUACAUUCCCUAGUGAGAACCGUGUCGCCUACGAUCGGUGGUUACAUGUUGGAACAUCUAGGAUUCCCCUCGUUCGGCUACCUGGGAUUCGUUCUGUGUAGUAUCGUAACCGUGGUUCUCUUCAUCAAGUUCAGACAACCAUCAUAGCCUGUGGGUGUGUCUCAAAGGUGCUAGGUGGGACCUGGCCUGGUGCUUAUAAAACAUUUAGAGUCUAGACUUGAGAGUCUGAUAGAGUCUCUGAAACAGUAAUGUCAUGACAAUGCCAUACAAAUUGUAUGUGUGUGAUAUCAUUAGAGAUUGAGUCAGGGCCUGUGCUUAUAAAAUUUAAAGUCUAGACUUUAACUUAUGCCAUUUGAAUGGCGUUGCCAUGACGUUAAAGUCUGGACUUUAUUAAAGUCUAGACUUUAAGGUUUAGAAGCACAGGGCCUAGACUCUAAAAGUUUUAUAAGCACGGGUCCUGGCCCUAUGGUUAUAGUUGUAGACUCAAGACUCUAAUAGAGUCAGGGUGAGACUUUGAGGCCAUGGCAAACACUCCACAAACUGUAUGUACAUGAGCUCAUUAAAAAUUUGAGUCCACACUCAAAAGUUUUAUAAUCACUGGCUUUGGUCUCACCAAUUUUGAAGAUUAUGCAUAGUUCUCAAACAACCCCUCCCCACGAUGAAAAGCAAAUACAUGUAUAUCUACCUUCACCCCCACCAUUCCAGUUGCUGGCAUCUUCUGCUUAGACCGGCCUCGGUGGCGUUGUGGUUAGGCCAUCGGUCUACAGGCUGGUAGGUACAGGGUUUGGAUCUCAGUUGAGGCAUGAGAUUUUUAAUCCAGAUACCGACUCCAAACCCUGAGUGAGU
rnacentral:misc_RNA from 1 species